GAGGACUUUUCCCGUUCCCGUCUUGCUUCGAUGAUUCCGCUUCCCUUCCGCAGCAGCUAAUAAGGGCGUCAUCAACCUCCGAUACAUUCUCCAGUGGCCUACUUCGGCCAUCAAAUCGACAACCUCUCCAUCGCCUUCAUGUGUUCCGCAAGCCUCCAUCUUCUUCGUCUAGGGUUGGCCCAAUCCCUGCGAGCCAGUUCUCAGCCCUGCGUUUCCAGGAGAGCAUCGUCUUCCUUUGACCCGGAUCUUCAAUCCGGUUGUUCUUUUAUCAAGCGGCGCAUUGGUGCGGAAAUUAGCUUGCAGAGAUGCGAUUUGCGUAAUUCUUUCUUUCCUGUUGCGGCGGCGAUUGAUGAGGAUUUUGGUGAUGUCUCCUUUUCUCUUGAGAAUGAUGGGGUUUAUAGAGGGAGUUCUGGUUAUAUAAUUUCGUCUAGUGAAGGGGAGGAUAGCGAUAUUGAUGCUUUCCUAACUCCUUUUGCUGAAACUGACCUGCCAACAAGCAGGGAACGCUUAGAAACUCCCAAUGCUGCAUUGACUUUGUCGGCCCACCGGUUGGCAACCAUUCAAAAAGGUUACAGAAAGAAUAGGACUCGACGAGGAGUCAUCCUUACAUUGGGAUUGACAGCCUUCUUGGUAUUGUUUCUUUUAUCUGUUGAUUGGUGCUCAUGGAGGAUUGUUAGGCUACCUUUGAAGCCAUUUUAUUUGACAUACCCAUUUUCUAUAUCAGCAUUUUUAUCAGCAUGUAUUGGAUUUUUGUUUGUUGCCAUUGUUGAUGGCCUGAAAAUACAUCAGGUCGUCAAGAGGGAAAGACCUCUUAAUUCCCUUAAAACAUCAAUACCUACAAUUGGUGGCUUAUUUUUCCUUCCAGUUGGCAUCACCACAGCGAGAGCUAUAAUAGGACAUCAUAAUAUCCUUUUUAUUGCAGUAGCAGCAGUGACUCUGGGUUUUGCAGCAAUUGGUUUGCUUGAUGAUAUUUUUCGAUUUACCAAGAAUUAUAACCACCAAUUGCCUGGAUGGCUGAAAUUAUUAUUACAUCUAGUAGUUGGGAUGUGGUUUUCAAUUUGGCUGGAGUCAACCGAUUUACCAACACCAUACAGCAUGAAGUUGUUGGUUCCUCUGCCUCCACCUUAUGGGCUUGUUCAUCUGGGAAAGUGCUAUCCGCUAUUGACACUAUUUUGUUUUGUUGUUAUGCCCAAUGGUGUUCACUUAACUGACGAAGCUGAUGGCUUAGUUGGCGGGGUUUCUGCAUUGGCCUUUGUUGGGAUGUCAAUUGCUGUUCUUCCAAUUUGUCCCGAACUUGCUGUUUUCGGAGCCUCCAUGGCUGGAGCAAGCGUGGGAUUUCUUUUCCACAAUCGAUAUAAGGCUUCCAUACUCUUGGGUGGUGUUGGGUCAUUAGGAUUGGGUGGAGCUCUUUCAGCGAUGGCUGCUUGCACAGGGAUGUUUUUUCCUUUAUUUAUAUCGUCUGGAGUUUUUAUCCUUGAAGCAUUGUCAGUUGUACUUCAGGCUAUUGUUCUGAAAGCUACAAUACACAGAAAAGGGUCUGCCAGACUCGUCUCCCAUGUGGCCCCUUUGCAACAUCAACUAAAGCUAUAUGGGAUAAAAGUACCCCUCAUUGUUGCAAGUGCAUAUGUUUUGUCGAGCAUCUUGGCUAUUUUUGCUGCAUACGUUGGUCUAAUUUCAGCUUGAGUUACAGAUCUAUCUUCACACAGCCAGUUUCAGAAGUAUAUAGCAGAGAGCUGACAACAUAAUUGCCCAUAGCUUAUCUGUACAGCAAGUGGAAGGACCUCUCUCCAUUCUAAAACCUUCACAUCAUCACAUGACUCUCUUUAUAAAUCACACACUUCUCCAUCUCCCUCUACUAUGUUCUCUCCUUAUGGAAGACAUGGCAUCCACAAUGAGCAAGAGCUAUGGCAUCCACAUUGAUGGUACCAUUGAUCUCGAUCUUUUGGAACUUCUCGAUGAGGAGUUCGAAGGCGAUGGCGACGUUGAUGAUGAUAAGCUCGACAAGUUCAUGGAGAUGCUCUAAGCGGAAAUUGUUGGUGGGGGAGAGGAUUUGAUAUCCUUGGACGAUGUUGAUGGCGGCGGCUGGCAAUGCGAUGCGGUGGGAUGGCCGGAGAUGAUGGAGAUGGAUGAGUGUGGAUAUGUGUUUGGAGAUUAUGGUUGUUUCUAUUAUGUUGGUGUGGAAGGGAAGGGAGAAGAGGAUAUUAUGAAUAGAGACUAUUAUUAUAUACUUUGGUAGCAAAUGUUUGAUGCAUGAAGAGAUUAUUUUUUAUGAUUGGAGAAUAAAAUUUUCAAUUUUUAGUAAAA